rnacentral:tRNA from 1 species
GUUUAAAUCCUUCCUGUACUA